rnacentral:rRNA from 1 species
UACGGGGGGGGCAAGCGUUGUUCGGAAUUACUGGGCGUAAAGGGCUGGUAGGCGGCCAACUAAGUCGGAUGUGAAAUCCCCAGGCUUAACCUGGGAACUGCAUCCGAUACUGGUUGGCUUGAAUCCGGGAGAGGGAUGUGGAAUUCCAGGUGUAGCGGUGAAAUGCGUAGAUAUCUGGAGGAACACCGGUGGCGAAGGCGGCAUCCUGGACCGAGAUUGACGCUGAGGCGCGAAAGCUAGGGGAGCAAACGGG